rnacentral:rRNA from 1 species
UACGUAGGGGGCAAGCGUUGUCCGGAAUCAUUGGGCGUAAAGAGCGUGUAGGCGGCUCGGUAAGUCCGCUCUGAAAGCCCGGGGCUCAACCCCGGGAGGCGGGCGGAUACUGUCGGGCUAGAGUCCGGAAGAGGCGAGUGGAAUUCCCAGUGUAGAGGUGAAAUGCGCAGAUAUCGGGAAGAACACCCGUGGCGAAGGCGGCACUCUGGGACGGUACUGACGCUGAGACGCGAAAGCGUGGGGAGCGAACAGG